rnacentral:lncRNA from 1 species
AAACAUUUGAUAUGUACUGUGGGUUUAAUGUGAGAAAUAUCAAGAGGUUUUCAAUAAAAUAGCAUGAUAGACUAAGAAUAUCUAUUUCCUUUAUUAGUAGGUACCUAGUAUAACUCAUGCAACCCAACUAAUCAAGCAACAUGACGAUUGCAUGAAGCAAACAUUUAUUCAUAGUAAUUUUCUUUGCACCCAAGAAUCAAUUUUAUUUUUCAAUUACCGAAGGAACAAACAAAAAAUAGUAAGUACACAUCUCACAUGGUGCUUGGCCAGCAUGAAGUAGGAGAUGCCAUGAACGGAGACCUUGAUGAUGCCCUCCGCUCACUCGAUGGAUCAGCAUCCACUAUUGUCGCCCUCCCCGAUAGCCCCGCAUGCAAGUUCCCUUUUGUUGAUGUGGCGAGCGCCAACGACACCCUCCCCAAUGGCGCUUCGUCUAGCGGCUCGUCCGCUGCUUCUUUUCCUCCUCCCUCGCAGCGAAUUCAUGGGAGGGGUUAGGGAAGGUUUGAAUUUGAGCGGGAGUCCAGAUGGUGUGGAGAACAUAAAGAAGGAUUUGUUUCAUAGUAUACGACUUGGACACAAAUACGAGCGUCGGGUGACGAACAUGAUUAUGUAAUUCAGUGGAAGGGUAAAUUCGUUUUACACAUGACGGAUAAGAAAAUAUGAGUAGGUAGUAUAGCAAAAGGAUCUAUGUGUUCCGAAGGGUACAAAAUCAAUAAAUACGUGCUUAGAAUUGUUUAAAAAAAGACUCAAACUACUUUUCAAGUCACAAAACAGUAUUAGAAGUACUAAAAAGUAUGUUUUAUAUCCUAUAAUCUCAUAAUUCAUAAAAAAACAUUUUCUUAUAAUUCGGUCAUACUAAAACACAUAACAAAAUCUAUUAAUUUUCUACAUAAAACAAAAGGUAGUGUUGCUACAAAGUUGUUGAUGGAACAUCACGCGUCGGGAUGUCGCUGAGGGAGAGUAUCACCAUGGCAACCAUAAUAUUUGUAAGUUCAUACAGAGACAAGGGUAAGAGCAGCAUUAUGAUUACAGAGGGGAAACUGAAGACUUCCA